rnacentral:ncRNA from 2 species
GUGAUGUAUAGAGGAGCGAAUAUUAUGAGUAUCUGCAGUGAGCCGGCCGGCUGAAGCUGCAGGGAAGGGAAUGUUCGCCGAAGCAGGAUGUUUUAGCCGGAAGAUUCUGCUGGGGUUGUAUUGAAGAAAUACAACACUGUCAUUCAAUUAUCCCAUUUUUGAAUGAAGCGCUAUCUCACGC